rnacentral:rRNA from 1 species
ACGGGUGCGUAACGCGUGAGCAACCUACCUCUAUCAGGGGGAUAGCCUCUCCAAAGAGAGAUUAACACCGCAUAACAUCAACCGUUCGCAUGUUCUGUUGAUUAAAUAUUUAUAGGAUAGAGAUGGGCUCGCGUGACAUUAGCUAGUUGGUAGGGUAACGGCUUACCAAGGCGACGAUGUCUAGGGGCUCUGAGAGGAGAAUCCCCCACACUGGUACUGACACACGGACCAGACUCCUACGGGAGGCAACAAUAAGGAAUAUUGGUCAAUGGGCGGAAGCCUGAACCAGCCAUGCCGCGUGCAGGAUGACUGCCCUAUGGGUUGUAAACUGCUUUUGUCCAGGAAUAAACCUCUUUACGUGUAGAGAGCUGAAUGUACUGGAAGAAUAAGGAUCGGCUAACUCCGUGCCAGCAGCCGCGGUAAUACGGAGGAUCCGAGCGUUAUCCGGAUUUAUUGGGUUUAAAGGGUGCGUAGGCGGCCUAUUAAGUCAGGGGUGAAAUACGGUGGCUCAACCAUCGCAGUGCCUUUGAUACUGAUGGGCUUGAAUCCAUUUGAAGUGGGCGGAAUAAGACAAGUAGCGGUGAAAUGCAUAGAUAUGUCUUACAACUCCGAUUGCGAAGGCAGCUCACUAAGCUGGUAUUGACGCUGAUGCACGAAAGCGUGGGGAUCGAACAGGAUUAGAUACCCUGGUAGUCCACGCCCUAAACGAUGAUAACUCGAUGUUGGCGAUAGACAGCCAGCGUCUUAGCGAAAGCGUUAAGUUAUCCACCUGGGGAGUACGCCCGCA